GAAUAUUGGUCAAUGGACGCAAGCCUGAUCCAGCCAUGCCGCGUGAGUGAUGAAGGCCCUAGGGUUGUAAAGCUCUUUCACCGGUGAAGAUAAUGACGGUAACCGGAGAAGAAACCCCGGCUAACUCCGUGCCAGCAGCCGCGGUAAUACGGAGGGGGUUAGCGUUGUUCGGAAUUACUGGGCGUAAAGCGCGCGUAGGCGGACUAUUAAGUCAGGGGUGAAAUCCCGGGGCUCAACCCCGGAACUGCCUCUGAUACUGGUAGUCUUGAGUUCGAGAGAGGUGAGUGGAAUUCCGAGUGUAGAGGUGAAAUUCGUAGAUAUUCGGAGGAACACCAGUGGCGAAGGCGGCUCACUGGCUCGAUACUGACGCUGAGGUGCGAAAGCGUGGGGAGCAAACAGG
rnacentral:rRNA from 1 species